UACGGAACUCUUUAUUGUAAAAGUAUAUUUUUUCCACACAACCAACCAGUAAGUUUUUGGUGAGGUGAUACUUUGAUACCAUGAGAAUUCUAGUAGGGAUGUAGCUCAACCUUUUAUCUAAUAGUUUUGGUAUCAGAAUGUCUUUAAUACUGUUUUACAUUAACCUUUCAACUUUUUAACAUUUUAAAUUUAAAAAUAUUCCAAGACAUUUGCUUUCCACAAACCAUAAAAUUUUACAAAAGUAAGAUUCACUUUUAUAAUAAUGGCAUAUUUACUCAUUAAUUGGAACGUGAGCACUCUCCCUCUUUUUAAUUUUGCUUGAGCCCUGUAUAAUAGCCAGUAUGAUAGCCACUUAAUGUACCAAGAGAUUAGCAUACUUCAUAAAACAUUAACAUCAUCAAGAAAAUCUAGACCUGUGGGAGGUGGUGGGGGAAUUUUUGGUGGUCCAGAAGGAAAUGGAGGCAGCAAGCAUGAGGGGAAGCAGGGUGGUGUGGGUGGUGGGCUACUGAAUUUGAGACCUGACCUGGCUUUCGUGGUCUCAGAAUUCCAUGGAGUAGCUUCUGACCUGAUGCUAAAUGGUUUGUUUCCAGGACCUGGAGUUCUCACUUUCAUCCAUUGAAUCUUGACUUUCAUUUUCAUUCUUUUGAGCAUUCUGUCCUAUAUUAUUAGCUACAGAGGUUGAAGAAAGUAGAUCAGACAGAUUUGCUCCUCUCUAUUUCCAUAUCCAGUGUAAAUCACAACACAGCUUUCUCUCUUCAUAUCAACUGAAGCAAUGGUAGCAGAGUAAAUGCAGCUGUCUUCUGACCAAAUGGCAGGACAUUUGUCCCCAACUUUCCACUACUUCAAGAAAGUUACAGUAUUCUUUUUUUGGCCUUUAUGCUUCUUAGCAGGUUUUCUAUUAGGCAUGCUUUUUGGUUUAUCUGAGGUUUCACAAAUGUCAUCAUUCUUUAGAGCCUGUUUAAAUGAAGCCACAGCUUUAUCAUCCACUUCUAUCAGUGCUGUAGCAUCCCAAAUGUCAGAAACGUCACUCUGGCCUAUGCUGCACUAGAAAUGCACCAAAUCUUCCUGCUCCAGGAUGCCACAGCCACUGCUGGCACUGCCCAUUGCCAUCGUAAGCCUACUGCCAGUUUUACCUUUCAAUGAAUGCAUUAUUUCCUAAAUACUAAGCACAGUCAAAAAUUGUUUCCCUGAGAUGAUAUAGCCUUCUCCUUUGGUGGCAUAUAUUAACUUUGUUAGUCUCAAUAUGACUAACAGUUUGGAUUUUCAAGUUCAAGAAUGUUUGUGCAGAGUCAUCUGAGUCCUCCCUACAGGUGGUUUUUUUCAGCACAUUUUACUUAGUCAAAUCAUCAAACUAUUGAUCAUGUCCCCACACCUAACCAAUUUAUAAAACUCAAAGCCAUCUGCGUGGCACGGACUCUCCGUAGUCUUGAUUGCAGAGUUGAUUUAUGACCUAAAGAAAGAGAGAUUUUAGCUUAGCUUUUGGAUAUAUUCCCUUCUGUUGAUCAAAGAUGAUGGUGGUUUUCAGUAAGUUGACUGAGCAGGAAUAGAACUUUUUAAGUCAUCUCAGUUUUAUAGGAUUCAAGGCAUUUCUUUUCCAAGGCUGAUUAUUAAUUUUGCAUUGAAAUCCCUCAUAACAAUAAGCCUGUUGCAUAGAAACAAAUUUUUGAUGAAUCAUCAAAUCAUCAAAUAUUUUCUCUUUCUUCAAAAUGAAGGGCAUCCAUGCUAAGUUACUUCUGAUUUAAAGAUAUUUUAAAAGGAUCAUCAAACAUCUCCACUUGAUGGCUAUACUUUGUAAGAAAGACAUUUUCUCUGAUAAAGUGUAAUUGCUACCUUCUUCUCUGAGCAUUUCUUUAUGAAAAGGUGGUUGGUUUCACUCCUUGAGUGAUCCCUAAGUUGAUUUAACUCUGGGUCAGUUUGUCAAUUUUAGUUGGUAACAAAUGGGGAGGAAGGCAGAUUUCCUGAAGGGCAUAAAAAUAAGAUAUUCAUUUUAAAAUCCCCUCCUCUUUCUCUUUGAACUGAUUUGGUACACCAGGAAGGUGAGUAGAACUGAUAUAUAGCAUGGAAACCUGAAUAAUUUUCACAAACCAUGUGGAAGCCUUUCUUUUGUCUUAAUGGAGGAAUUUUGAGGAUGAACCCAAUUGGAAGGUGUAGGCAAAUUCAUAAUUCCUUGGAAUUUUCUUGCUUGUCUGAUGGCAAACUUAGGAUGAAAUGUAAUCCUUCAUUGUGACAAACAUGCCUACUGUUUGGCAGAUUUGCUUUUUCAUCCUUCUAUGUGGCUUUUAAUUUUGUAUGCUACUAACCUUCCUGAAUGUAGGUCCUUUACACUGCCUAUUAUUUCAAUAGCAUGGUAUAAAUUACAGUUAAGCCAAUAAAUAAUUGUUUCUCCUUCUG
rnacentral:lncRNA from 1 species